ensembl:lncRNA
UCGUUUUAUUUAUUCAACAGUAUACAUUUAAAUCAGAGUCUGCAUUUGCGACUCUCUAAGGGGGGUUCACGUGAUUAUGCAUAUAAUACAAUACAACGAUAACAUUGCUGAAUUUAACAGCAAAGGCUCAACAAGGCAGGAUUAUUUUAGAUUGAAAUUAAUAAAGCACAAACACACACACAUCCGUACACACAACAGCCAAUAUGCAACACAAGGCCGAGCAAGAGCCAUCAAGGUAGGGCUAGGUUGCUGAUCUUUAUUUCAAUAAAAAAAAACAGACAAACGCUAGUCGUUUAAUAGCGAGGAAUUGCAACAACCUGAGCCAAAGCAUCCAGCGAGUUGCCCGUUGGUCAGACUAAAGGGGCCCACACACACCGCCCAGACACAAACAAACGGCCAACUGCCUUUAUCCGACCACUCUGUUGCCUUUCGUCUGAUCCGUUCAGCAGAAAAGUUGCAAUGAAACACACCGCAAAGACUAUUGCCAACGCUAGUCCGGCCCUCCCACACACCGCUCUGAUCCCUGGUUCAACCAGCUAACAGCACACAACUAAUCAGAUUAUCCAAUGGCUCCAAUCCUCAGACCGCCAGCGCUCUCACACUUUGCAUGUUGAAUCGGACCGGACACAUCCGCAUGUUUCCAAAAGCUUCCAACACAGCCAAGGAACAGAUUUGUUCCCGAGCUCGUCCAAUGCUCAUUUUCAGAUGGUCAACGGCUGGGCCAGUGGCUUCCAAGCUUAAGGUAGGGUAUGUAGGGGGGGCCACCAGGGUAGAGCCAUGACCUGCGUGCUCGAUACCAACCAACCGCUCCAUAAUCCUUUGAGACGGUUCCAAGUUGUUCCACCAUAAAACUAAAAAGUGAUUGGAUCAUCCCGACAAUACCGCCCCCUGUACAGGGCUUCACCCCAGACCUCAGCUUGCCCUGACUAGGGCUGUGUCAAAAAAAUUAAAUGGUGAUAUAUCGCAAUAUUCACUUUGCCGAUAUCAGUAUCGAUCACCAGAUCAAAAUAUAUAUAUUUUGAAAAAAAAAAAACAUUAUUAUUUUUAUCAAUUUUUGUAUGUGGAAUAUCGCAAUACAUCGUGAUUUAUCACUAUACGCGAUAUAUCAUGAUAGAUCGUGAUAUAUCGUAUCGUGACCA